UAUGGUUUGGAUGAUCCUUAUCCCAUGUGUUACCUUUUGCUUUUGAGUUAGGCCAUUUCAUUUUGUUAACAAGUUGUAUCAAUGUAUGGGUCUCUUAGGUUAGGUGGGAUCCUCCUCAAAAGGAACAAAAGAUAAAAAGGAAAAAGAAAAACCACAUAUCAGUGUUGCAAAAAGUCCAUUUGAGGGGCAAUUAAACACUGAAGCUAGCUGCAGCGCAAGUUGGUGUCGACGUGUCGUCUUGCUUAGGCAGUAUUCUGUGCAGACAAAACAAAAAGCAACAACAGCAGUAGAAAAGGAGCCAAAGUUACAAUGCCAGAGUUAAGCGAAGAAUAUGCCAAAUCGCUGCUAUAUUGAGGUAUUUUCCAGAAACUCACUUUGCUGAAGAAUUUUGUUUCUUGGUUUCAAGAAAUAAUUCCACCUAUAUCCGUUAACCCUGUCAGAACAGGGAAAAGAUUUGCAAGAUAAACAAGAAGCUUCACCUGGUGCAGUAUACUUCGUAUAUGCUAUGCUCUCUCCCUCACCAAAUAUUUUUCCUAUCACUUAAAUUAGCAACCAACUUUCCAUCCAACAAGAUGUUACUAGGCUUAACAUCUCAAUGGACCACAGGCUUUAACUAACCAUGAUGAAGAUGCUGUAAUUUGUAAGACACAUCUAUCAUAAUAUUCAGUCUUUGCAUUAUAUCUAAAGCAUGAUUGUCAGAGUAUAGCAACUUCUUAAGGUUCCCAUUUGGCAUGUACCCUAAUAAUAAAGCUUUGAAAUCAUUGCUGGAAUAGCCAGUUAUGACCUUUGUGAGAUUCCCAUGGCAAAGGUCUCUCAAUAUUUCACAUUCUGCAUCGAAACUCUUGGAUGCAACUUGUUGCAAAUUUAACACCUCUACUGCAAAAGUGGUACCGCCUUGAAAUAUCCCCUUAUAAACAUAUUUGAAACUCCCAUUUCCAAGCAAAUUGCUUUCGCUGAACCAGUUUGUUGCAUGUAAAAGUUCAUAAUAUGAAAUCCGUGGUGGUCCUGGUUGAGAGAUUGAGUUGGUUGUGCUCUCACUGUCAUCUUUCCUCAGAUAUCUUCUAAUUACGAUAAUCAGGAUAAGCCAUGCAUCACAAUUGCAGUAGCAACGAAUAACAAAAUAAUCCGCAAAAGCUUUUUAGUUCUUGAGUUGGUGGAUGGACUAGUAUUGCAAACUGAGACAUGAAACUUGGGAUGGCCACAUAAACCUUUAUUGGACAAAAAUGAUACUAGUGAAACUUUUGAAAGGACCAAUGAAGGAGUCUCACCUGUUAAGUCAUUGAAUGAAUCAUUGAAAUACUUGAGAUAUUUGAAGAGCUUUCAUGUGAUUUGGGGAUUGGACCAGAGA